rnacentral:rRNA from 1 species
UACAGAGGGGGCGAGCGUUGUUCGGAAUUACUGGGCGUAAAGGGCGCGUAGGCGGUUCCUACAAGUCCCGCGUCGAAAGCCCCCGGCUCAACUGGGGAACUGCGCGGGAAACUGUAGGGCUUGAGUUCGGGAGAGGGAAGCGGAUCGGGUGUAGCGGUGAAAUGCGUAGAUAUCCGGAGGAACACCGGUGGCGAAGGCGGCUCCUGGACCGACACUGACGCUGAGGCGCGAAAGCUAGGGGAGCAAACGGG